rnacentral:lncRNA from 1 species
CGGAAGAUGAAGCUCGAUUAAUUCUAUCGACUCAGAGUACUUCUCACCGACUCUUUUCUUGAUGGAGAGCAGGUUUACCAGAGUAGAACACAGAUUUUGGAAUUUCCAGUAACCUCAAUUUUCUUCACUCUUCGCGCUAAAGAGCAUUUUGACUCAAAAGUUAGGCAACAAUGGAAAUCAAGUUACCGAAAAUCAUUUUUAGAUGAAAAAUCAACUGGAAAGAACACACGAAGAGGGGGAAAUAGAGAGCAAGACGUGGAGCUUCAUAUUUGCAGGUUCUUCGUUAUCCAUUUUCGAUUUUUCAGAAUCAAAGACUUGUUAUGUAGAAU